rnacentral:rRNA from 1 species
AUUGAACGCUGGCGGCAGGCUUAACACAUGCAAGUCGAGCGGGGGAAGGUAGCUUGCUACCGGACCUAGCGGCGGACGGGUGAGUAAUGCUUAGGAAUCUGCCUAUUAGUGGGGGACGACAGCUCGAAAGGGACGCUAACACCGCAUACGGCCUACGGGAGAAAGCAGGGGAUCUUCGGACCUUGCGCUAAUAGGUGAGCCUAAGUCGGAUUAGCUAGUUGGUGGGGUAAAGGCCUACCAAGGCGACGAUCUGUAGCGGGUCUGAGAGGAUGAUCCGCCACACUGGGACUGAGACACGGCCCAGACCCCUACGGGAGGCAGCAGUGGGGAAUAUUGGACAAUGGGGGGAACCCUGAUCCAGCCAUGCCGCGUGUGUGAAGAAGGCCUUAUGGUUGUAAAGCACUUUAAGCGAGGAGGAGGCUACUGAGACUAAUACUCUUGGAUAGUGGACGUUACUCGCAGAAUAAGCACCGGCUAACUCUGUGCCAGCCGCCGCCGUAA